AUUGUCACAGCCCCAACCACAGAUGGAGGUGAGUGCCUACCUCAGUGCUGCAUCGCCAGCUCCUCUCAUCUAGGGAUGGUGUGAUAGAGUGUAACCUUAGGCCAGUAACUUAUAUGCAGAUUCUUGGAUCUUACUAAACACUGCACAGUGUUGUCAGGUCGAAUUUGUAGCCAUUGAGGGGUAGUGAACGAUUCCCCAAGCACCAGUUCCCAUUUACCCAUGAAGUUAGGAGGGGGUAAUUUCCUCUGUGUUAAAAGCAGGUAAUAAUUUUGGGGGGAAUCCAGCUAGAUUCUGUAGCUAUGGAAUACAGCCUCCCCAUAGAGAAAAUAGACCACAUCCUCGCUAACAUUGAUCUCUACCUGUUCAUUUAAUCAUAAAGAGCUUCAAUCGCUGCUAGGCUUCCUCAGUUUUGUCAUGAGGAUUAUUC